rnacentral:rRNA from 1 species
GAUCAUGGUUCAGGAUGAACGCUAGCGACAGGCUUAACACAUGCAAGUCGAGGGGCAGCACGGUGUAGCGAUACACUGGUGGCGACCGGCGCACGGGUGAGUAACACGUGUGCAACCAACCCCGUACCGGGAGAUAACCCGCGGAAACGUGGACUAACAUCCCAUGAGACUCUAGAUUCGCAUGGCUCUAGAUUUAAAAUUCCGGUGGUACGGGACGGGCACGCGCGACAUUAGGUAGUUGGCGGGGUAAGGG